rnacentral:lncRNA from 1 species
UAGCAAGCGACCAUAUAUUUUGGUAUUCUGCUGACUACCGGCGAUUGAGGUAUUGUCACGUAUUGAGUGUAUUCUACUGUUGAAACAAAUAACAAAUUUUGUAGAGUUGGCAGGCACCGAUCGGCUUCAGAGAGGAUUUUGGGAGCCACCGGAAAACAUUUCAAUUCAAGAAGGCACGAAUAUCAAUAAAGCGCUCCUUGUUCUCGGAAAUGUCUUCAGCAGCCUCGAAGACAGAAAAAUCCCAGCAUGUUCCAUAUAGCGAUAGCAAAUUAACAAGGCUAUUAAAAGGUUAAACCAGUCAAAAUAAUUUUGGGAGUGUACGAAGUACCAAGUGCAAAUAUUAAUCUUUAACCGAUUAUUUAGUAAAUUAAAUAGGUAGCUUAAGUUGUUAUUUUUUUAUUAUUGAUAAAUCUGUUUUUUAUUGCCAAUUGUUAUUUUUUAUAUGUACAUAUAUGUUAAAUAAAUAAGUGUAUAAGCAUA